rnacentral:rRNA from 1 species
AUACGGAGGACGCGAGCGUUAUCCGGAUUCAUUGGGUUUAAAGGGUGCGCAGGCGGCCGUGCAAGUCAGCGGUGAAAGCCCGGGGCUCAACCCCGGAAGUGCCGUUGAUACUGCAUGGCUGGAAUGCGGUCGAGGCGGGCGGAACGGGGCGUGGAGGGGUGGAAUGCGUAGAUAUGCCACAGAACGCCGAUAGCGGAGGCAGCUCGCCAGGCCUGCAUUGACGCUCGGGCACGAAAGCGUGGGGAUCGAACAGGAUUAGAUACCCUGGUAGUCCACGCCGUAAACGAUGGGCGCUCGUCGUCGGCGGCAGACAGUCGGCGGCCAAGCGAAAGCGAUAAGCGCCCCACCUGGGGAGUACGGUCGCAAGGCUGAAACUCAAAUGAAUUGACGGGG